rnacentral:tRNA from 1 species
AGCUCAGUGGUAGAGCGCUUUCCUUAUAAGAAAGGUGUCGCAGGUUCGAGUCCUGCUAUGA